rnacentral:rRNA from 1 species
GUGCCAGCAGCCGCGGUAACACGGGGGGAGCAAGCGUUGUUCGGAUUCAUUGGGCGUAAAGAGCUCGUAGGCGGCUCUGUAAGUCGGGGGUGAAAGACCACGGCUCAACCGUGGAAACGCCUUCGAUACUGUGGAGCUUGAGGCCGGGAGAGGAAAGCGGAAUUCCUGGUGUAGCGGUGAAAUGCGUAGAUAUCAGGAGGAACACCAGUGGCGAAGGCGGCUUUCUGGACCGGUUCUGACGCUGAGGAGCGAAAGCCAGGGGAGCAAACAGGAUUAGAUACCCCUGUAGUCC